UUUUUAUUUUUUUUUAAAUAGAAGAAUUCAGAAAUUUAAAAAUGUUUUGUUUAAUAUUCACUUAUGGAGAUACGCAUUUUACCCCUUUCUAUUUCCUUCGAUUUUGAAAUAGAGAAAAAUAAGCAACUCAAUUUUGAUGUCAGGAGUAAUGCUAGGAAUUCAUGGCACACAAUCAGUCCUUGAAUCUUCGUGUUCAUUCCUUAUGGAGGAGCUUUAAUUACUUGGGGGAAACUUGAAAAGGGUUCAGAGAGUUGGAAACUUCUUGUCCAAUCUCAAGACAAUUGUCCCAAUUCAUUCUUCAUCCAUUUUAUCUAACAAGGCCUUUUCUAGUUUAUCUAAUGCAAGUUCAGCUUUACCUCAAGUCGUUUGCUCAACUUCUCAAAUUAAUACGCUAAGCUCUUCCAAAAGUGAGCACACACCAUAUCAAGAAGCAGUCUCAGAAUCUGUCAAGUGUGAAGAAAGAGCAGUGAAUGCUAGUUCUACAAAUGGUAGAGUAAUGCUCAUAGAUGGCACAUCAAUCAUUUA